UAGGGAAUCUUCGGCAAUGGGGGGAACCCUGACAGAGCAACGCCGCGUGAGUGAAGAAGGUUUUCGGAUCGUAAAGCUCUGUUGUUAAGGAAGAACGAGUGUGAGAAUGGAAAGUUCAUACUGUGACGGUACUUAACCAGAAAGGGACGGCUAACUACGUGCCAGCAGCCGCGGUAAUACGUAGGUCCCGAGCGUUGUCCGGAUUUAUUGGGCGUAAAGCGAGCGCAGGCGGUUAGAUAAGUCUGAAGUUAAAGGCAGUGGCUCAACCAUUGUAGGCUUUGGAAACUGUUUAACUUGAGUGCAGAAGGGGAGAGUGGAAUUCCAUGUGUAGCGGUGAAAUGCGUAGAUAUAUGGAGGAACACCGGUGGCGAAAGCGGCUCUCUGGUCUGUAACUGACGCUGAGGCUCGAAAGCGUGGGGAGCGAACAGG
rnacentral:rRNA from 1 species